rfam:Trichobilharzia regenti genome assembly, scaffold: TRE_scaffold0060159
GUACUGCUGAAGUGUCCCAAACUAGGACGAAACAGUUGUCCAGUAC